UUCCGAUUACCCCCCCCCCCCAAAAUGUUUGCCCUACCCUCACCCUUUACCCCAAAAUCUAGAAAAUCCCUAAAGUAAACCAUCUUCCUCUUCAUCACUCAUCAGUUUCUGAAAAUUGAAAUCCCUCUCCCGUUCAGCCGUCCCUCACCCAUCUCCGGUUAAACCAUCCUUCUUCGUCAUUUUAUGGAACUUUCCUGAAAAUUGUUUGUUCAUUAGUUUUUGCUUGCUCGGCGUCGCAUCGAAACAACUCAAGUUCAGGUUUUUCUGUUUUCUUUUUCCGGUAAUUUUGUUCUUAAUGAUAUUUUAAUCCAAAACCUUUUUCAUUUAAAAUUUUUUUAGUGAAAAAUAUUUUGGAUAUAGUGUAAAAUGGUAUUGAGUCUGAAGAAUAUACAUGCGUGGUGGAUUUGAAAUAUUAAGGGAAAAACCCAAAUCUUUGCACCCAUAAAGCAAGAUAUUUGCAAUUGUGGUGUUUGGUUUGUUCAUGAGAACAGUAUCAUAGUUUUUCAUCAUUUCUUUUAAGGAGUUAGUUGAUGAUACAACUAAGGUUGGAUUUUGACCUAAUUUCAGAAACAUUAAUGACCUAUAUUUGAGUGAAAGGUUCUGAAAGGAUCGAUGGGGGAGUUUCACAAGUUUAAAAAGGUGGCCAAUGAUUGGUAACUUUGGGGGAGAAUGAGUUACAUUAUGUAAUUUGUGUUUUGGUAGUUUAAGCCAAAGUAAAAAAAAAAAAAAAACGAGAGAAAGAAAAUAAAGAGUAUGAAAGAGAGAAACAAUGGGUUGUAAAGUUUAAUUUCAUUGAUGAGCUCUAUUAAUGGUGGUAUCUCCAAUCUUUUGCAGAUUAAAUUAUGAACUAAAUAAGAAAAACUCAUAUUGAGCAUUUUUAUUUAUUUUCUUAUUUUUUUUUUGCAAUAUAAAAUUCCAUCAAUUGAGCAUGACUUCGAUAUUUUUAGAUUUUUUAUUUGUUUCAAGUGGAGUCAGGUUUAACCUGAAAGCAAGAGUUAAAGUAUCAAUUCUAUCUUAAAUGGUGCAUGUUAAAACAAUCUAGCAAACAUAAACAUUUGAUGUUUGUGAUGGGUGUCAGUUAAAGCUUCAAUUCUAUCUUUAAUGGUGCAUUUUCUUUUAAUUAUUAUUUAAGAAUUUUAUUUUUAUCGACAAGUUGGAUUUAGAGAGAUGUUACCAUUACUACGAAUCAGUUUUGGGAUAAAGGAAUUUGGUUUUCAACAAUUAUUUGGACUGUUGCAUAUUUUUAAUUUCUUGGAGUGGUAGCAGUGUAUUGAGAAAUGCAUUGGUUCCCCCGAAAUGAAGUUGAAUUUGUAGUUUGAAGUGACAAAUUGAUGCAUAUUACUCUACCCUUAGUCAUAGUGAAAGCUUGAAUUAAGGUUUUUAAGGUCGACAGACAUGAUUAAGCUUUUAUUCAAACAAAUAUAUUCGAUUCGAUUCGAAUUUCAUUUCACUCGACUCGAUUUGAGAAAAUUUUAAAUCGAGUUAGGAUGAUAAAAUAGAAUUCGUCAACUUGAUUAACUCAGAAUUUUUUCAUUCGAUUCGAUUCCAACGAACACUCACCCCUAAUGAGUAGCAUUGAGUAAAGCUUGUAUAGUAACCCUGAUCUGAAACUUGUGUGAGCAGCCGAAAUAUGAAAACAAUAGCUAAACGAAAAUGAAAUGGUUGAAAAUAUUGAAUAUGAAAUUAAUGGUUAAGUUUACAAAAUGAGCAAAGUUGAAUCGCAUGAUAAUAACGAUAUGGUAGUACUUGCUUAUGAAUUGAGAAUUAUAAUCUUGUAGUAUUAAUGAACUAAUCUCUUAGUCGUCUUUUGAAAUUAUAUAUGUCAUGCUAUGCUCAAAUGCGUUUCAAUUACUUAAACUAAUUGUAGUGUCAAGGUAAGUUGAUUUUCAUAUGGACUUACUAAGCAUUUUUUAUGCUUAACCGUUGAUUUCUUUUCUCCCUGUAGAUUGAUAAUUGCUGAACGUGUUGGUCAAAUCAACUUGAGAAUCACGCUAUCCUACUUUUGACUUGAUAGUCCUUUGAUCAUUUUUAGUUCGUUUAUAUGGCAUGUACAUAGGUGUUUAUCUAAGUAUUACUUGUGAAUGAUGAUUGGUUUAAUUCUAAUUUAAUACUUGAUCUUGUAAAGUUAUUAUGCAUAUAUGCAAUAGUACAUGUCUUGGUAAAUUUUAGUGAGCUUAAUGAUGGUAUUAGAUGAUUUAUAACCUUGUUAGUAAGUUUGGUAUACUUUGUUGUGAAAUGGUGUCAAAUUGUCGCAUAUUGGUUUAGUUGAUAUUAGGAAUGUAUGAAUGAAUGUUAGGUGUGUGUUUUGAAUUGGUUUUAUACAGGUUUUGUCUGUGUUUAUAUGUACUAAGUGAGUACAAUUUGGUUUAGGCAUGAAUAGGAUACCAAAAUUGGAGAUUUUUUUACCAUUUUUGCCUUUGGGUGUUGAUACCUUAGGAAGGGUAUCGAUACUUUAACAAAUUUUCUUAAUUUCUAAAACUUCGAAUACAAAAACGAUAUUGAUACCGGACUAAAGUAUCAGUACUCUAUAUCAAAGUACUGACACUUUACAAGGGUAUCGAUACACUGGAUUUUGCCUUAUUUUUGCAAAAAGAAACAAAUUCGCAAAUUUGUAUCGAUACUAGAAUAAGUAUCGGUACUUUAUAAAGGAAGUAUCGGUACCAUAUUUUAGGUAUCGAUACUAUUGAGUUUUUAUAUAUUUUUGUAAAAUAUCAAAGUUAAAAAUGGAAUCAGUACUUCUUAUGAAAACUUUAAAAAUUUUACAUUUUGGUCCUUUUUCAUGUUUUGUUUAGCAAAUGAGCUUUUGUAAGCUCGAUCAAGUCCCGG
rnacentral:lncRNA from 1 species